rnacentral:rRNA from 1 species
GAUGAACGCUGGCGGCGUGCCUAAUACAUGCAAGUCGAGCGAAUGGAUUAAGAGCUUGCUCUUAUGAAGUUAGCGGCGGACGGGUGAGUAACACGUGGGUAACCUGCCCAUACGACUGGGAUAACUCCGGGAAACCGGGGCUAAUACCGGAUAACAUUUUGAACCGCAUGGUUCGAAAUUGAAAGGCGGCUUCGGCUGUCACUUAUGGAUGGACCCGCGUCGCAUUAGCUAGUUGGUGAGGUAACGGCUCACCAAGGCAACGAUGCGUAGCCGACCUGAGAGGGUGAUCGGCCACACUGGGACUGAGACACGGCCCAGACUCCUACGGGAGGCAGCAGUAGGGAAUCUUCCGCAAUGGACGAAAGUCUGACGGAGCAACGCCGCGUGAGUGACGAAGGCUUUCGGGUCGUAAAACUCUGUUGUUAGGGAAGAACAAGUGCUAGUUGAAUAAGCUGGCACCUUGACGGUACCUAACCAGAAAGCCACGGCUAACUACGUGCCAGCCGCCGCUGUAA